CGCCUCUGUAACUCAAGAGAAGAUGAGAGAUGUGGUCACCUCGGUCAUCAUUUUGCGUCGGCAGUGCAGAGUUGCACCACCAGGGGGCAGCAGGCACCGCUCGUGGCCGCUGAUGCCCGGCUUGGUGACAGGUUCACGAAAGCGCCGCUUGGGUCACAGAGGAGCCCGAAGCUCCCGCGAGCGCCUGCAUUUAGAUAGGGCGUCUACACUGGUCAGCUACUCGGGCACUGGAGGAAUCCGGCUAGACCGUGAUGACUCCGAGACUCCUGAGGCUGCCUGUUCUCAGUCUGGCGGGACGGCCUGUGUCUGAGGGCAGGGACUGCAGGCCGCAGAGCGGUUCCCAGCAACAGGGCCGACGGAGAGCCCUGCCGGGGAGAGGGCGGCUGGCUCCCUGCACCUCCACCUGCCCCCCCAGUUUGCAGCGUUGUGGGAGCCCCGGAAAGGCCACGCCAGCAGCCCCCGACGGCAGAGGAGAGGACUAGAAGCCCAGAGCAGCUGCAGGCAGCGAAGGCAGUGAGUGCCGACAGAGCAGGGGCCUGGUGGCCUCCCGUGGCCGCCACACCCACCCGAAGGGGAGAGUCACGUGGCCGACAGCGUGGGCCCUGCGCCCCGUGUGCAAUACGCCACGGUUUGGGUGUACAAGGGUGAUUUUCGGGGCUGCUGGGGCAGCCAUUGAGUAUCAGCAACGCUUGGUAGCUGUUUUGGUUCUCAGAAACCGUCAGCGGGCAGUCAGCAGGCCCUGCCGCUCGCUGGUGGACACACAGCUCGCCCGAGGGGAAAGCUACUCCGGGAGCCUCAGCCUUGGGAAGCAGCAACCUCUGGGUCCAGGAGGAGCUCCUUCCCACCCAGCAAGCAGCCACCGGGAGAAGCGUGCGACGCUGCAGAGCCCCUUGGGAGCCUUGAGCCUGUUUCCUGUUACCACAGAACACCUGAAGUGGCUCGUGUGUACGGAACAGGUAUUUGUUCUGGAAGCCGAGAAGUCGGGGUCAAGGAGCCGGCACCUGGGGACGGCCUCGUGCUGUGCCGUCGCGUGGCGAGGGCAUUGGCUGAUGCCAGCAGAGGCUUCUCCGGGAGGGUCGUCACAACCGCAGCUCAUCCCAGUGACUCCCAGACACCAGGGACACCUGGAUCUGGGGCUAAGCACGGGGGGACGCAGGCCCCAGCAGGCCUGUGCGAUCUUGAGUCCUGGACACGAGCUAACAGCCACAGGCGGACCAGAAUCCUGGACGAAUGACGCCGAAGAUAAAGCCGAUUCCCGGUGGGUGCGAGGCCCUGGUGUCGACGCCAUGUGAUGCCCGCCUCCCCCAUGGCUCCAGGUGGCGGCCCUCUGCGUCUCCCUGGCGCCUGGUGACUGCCGACUCUUCUCACCAAUGUGGCGGCCAUCUACAUCUUCCCUGGAGAACUGUCUUGCCUCGUCCUUUGCCCGUUUUCUUUCUUUCUCUUUUUUCUCUUUUUUUAUUUUUUAUUUUUAUUUAUUUUUAAUAGAAAACUUUAGUAAAUAUAAAUUUCAAAAGUACAACUUUUGGAUGAUAGCAGUUCUUCCCCCCAUAACCACCCUCCCACCUGCAAUCCAUCCCACCUCCUACUCCCUGUCCCACUCCAUUCUUCAUUAAGAUUCAUUUUCAAUUUCCUUUCUAUACAGAAGAUCAUCUCUAUACUGAGUAAAGAUUUCAACAGUGUGCACCCACACAGACACACACAGUAUAGAGUACUGUUUGAGUAGGAGUUGUACCGUUAAUUCUCAUAGUACAGCACAUUAAGGACAGAGGUCCUACAAGGGGAGUAAGUGCACAGUGACUCCUGUUGUUGACUUAACAACUGACACUCUUGUUUAUGACAUCAGUAAUCACCCGAGGCUCUGUCAUGAGCUGCCAAGCCUUUUGAGUUCACGAACUCCGACCUUAUUUAGACAAGGCCAUAGUCAAAGUGGAAGUUCUCGCCUCCCUUCAGAGAAAGGCACCUCCUUCUUUGACGCUUUUGCUCAUUUUUAUAUGAGAUUUGUAUGUCUUUCUUGGAGAACUGUCCUGCCUGGUCCUUUGCCCAUUUCUAAGUGGAUUGUCUUCGUGUUGAUGUGUUGUGUUUCUUGUAUACUGGCCCCUUCCCAGGUGCAGGUCUGCAGAAACGUCUCCCGUCCCAUGCGGUCUCCUCACACCGUCCCUUGUUCCCUUACUAUGCAGGUUUAGAUGGACACAAUCCACCUGUCUAAUUAACUCGUCUCUCAGACUGAUCAGGGGAUUUUUCCCAGUACUUUCUUCAAGUGUUUUUUUUUUUUUAAACAGGUAGAGUCAUAGACAGUGAGAGAGAGAGAG
rnacentral:lncRNA from 1 species